rnacentral:rRNA from 1 species
AUUGAACGCUAGCGGGAUGCCUUACACAUGCAAGUCGAACGGAGUGGCGAACGGGUGAGUAAUGUAUAGGAACGUGCCCAGUAGCGGGGGAUAAAUACGCGAAAGCGGAGCUAAUACCGCAUAAGAAUGGAGCGGGCGAUAUCGGAUUAACUAGUUGGUGGGGGAACGGCUCACCAAGGCGACGAUCCGUAGCUGGUUUGAGAGGACGACCAGCCACACUGGGCCUGUGACACGGCCCAGGCUCCUACGGGAGGCAGCAUUGGGGAAUUUUGGACAAGGGGGGAAGCCCUGAUCCAGCCGUCCCGCGUGUGCGAUGAAGGCCUUCGGGUUGUAAGGCACUUUUGGCAGGAAAGCGGUACCUGCAGAAUAAGCACCGGCUAACUACGUGCCAGCAGCCGCGGUAAUUC